AGAGGUAGGUAGGGGAGAACGGAAUUCCUGGUGUAGCGGUGAAAUGCGCAGAUAUCAGGAGGAACACCGGUGGCGAAGGCGGUUCUCUGGGCCUUACCUGACGCUGAGGAGCGAAAGCGUGGGGAGCGAACAGGAUUAGAUACCCUGGUAGUCCACGCUGUAAACGUUGGGCGCUAGGUGUGGGGGUCUUCCACGAUCUCCGUGCCGGAGCUAACGCAUUAAGCGCCCCGCCUGGGGAGUACGGCCGCAAGGCUAAAACUCAAA
rnacentral:rRNA from 1 species